AGGAAAUGGUUUCUGGAAAACAUUAGUAAGGUCAGUUUUUAAACACUGAAUCCAAGGUUGUCUUCUGGAAUAUCCAAAUUGGUUAUGACCAGAAUGUGAUUCAUUAUACUAAGCUAAAGGAAUAGAUUAAAGAAUUAGCAACAGUGGCCGGGUGCAGUGGCUCAUGCCUGUAACCCCAGCACUUUGGGGGAGGCCCAGGUGGGUGGAUCAUUUGAGGUCAGGAGUUUGAGACCAGCCUGGCCAACAUGGUGAAACCUAAAAAUACAAAAAUUAGCCAGGUGUGGUGGCAGGUGCUUGUAAUCCCAGCUGCUUGGGAGGCUGAAGCAGGAGAAUUGCUUGAACCCGGAGGCAGGGGUUGCAGUGAGCCAAGAUCACACCAUUGCACUCCAGCCUGGGUGGCAGAGUGAGACUCUGUCUCAAAAAUUAAAAAGCAACAGUGUAUAUGCAAUAGUUGCAAGAUGUAAGAUCACCCAAAGAGUAUGCAGAGGGAAAUGAGGGACAGAACCCAGAAAUAUUAAUACCCAGGGAGUGAACAGGAGGAGGACCCCAAGAAGUUACUGAGUCAGAUUUUUCCCACUCAUCCAGGUGAAAGUUUAGGUCAAUAAUGUGAAAUACCAGAGGGAUUAAAUGUCUACAGAAAUAAAACCAUGUCUCACAUUAAGACAAACAAGUAGGUUGGAGGGAUAUUUUGAAAGGCAAGGUGAUAUUAAACUUUAUUCUGAAAGUAGUUUGUUAGAGAAAGAGGCAUGAUAAGAGUUGCAGUUAACUGAUUGGAAACUAUGCAGCAGAUGAAACUGGAAUAAAGGAAACUCAUCAGGAAAUGAUUAUAGUAAUAAGGGCCAGAAAUAAGGGCUUGCUUGCCUGAACUAAAAACAAAGAGGAUACAAAGGUUCUAGAAAUAUUUCAAAGGAAUUAGCUUUAAUUCAGCAAUACUCAUUGAGAAUCACCUAUGCACCUGGCUCUGAAGAUGAAGUGCUGAGUAAACUUAGACAUGGACCCUGCUAUCAUGGAGAUGGCAGAUUAUUGGUCAGAAUGCUCUUACCUGUCAUUGUAGCAAUUUUGUUAGAUCCUUAAUACCUCUGAAUUGCUAAUAAACUUGUUUUGGCUGAAAAAAUAGUCCUGUGAAUUUUACCAUGCAGUUAAAUAAGAAACUAAAAGCAAACCUAAAUACCACCAAAAAGGUUAGUAGUCUGUUAUAUGCAUUAGCCUUAAUCUAAGGAAAUAUUUUAUUAUAGGUCUCCUUGAAGAAAAUGAUAUUUUCAGGAAUGCUCAAGCAGGUGUUCUCAUCAGCACUAAUAGUCAUCCAAUCUUAAGGAAAAACAGAAUAUUUGAUGGAUUUGCCGCAGGUAUUGAAAUUACAAAUCACGCAACUGCAACACUAGAAGGCAAUCAGAUUUUUAACAACCGGUUUGGAGGCUUAUUUUUAGCAUCUGGUGUUAAUGUGACAAUGAAAGAUAACAAAAUAAUGAACAAUCAAGAUGCCAUAGAAAAGGCUGUUAGUAGAGGCCAAUGUUUAUAUAAAAUAUCAAGUUAUACCAGCUAUCCCAUGCAUGAUUUCUACAGAUGUCAUACUUGUAACACCACAGAUCGAAAUGCCAUAUGUGUGAACUGCAUUAAGAAGUGCCAUCAGGGACAUGAUGUAGAGUUUAUUAGACAUGAUAGGUUUUUCUGUGACUGUGGUGCUGGAACACUGUCUAAUCCUUGUACAUUAGCUGGUGAGCCUACACAUGAUACAGAUACACUAUAUGACUCUGCUCCACCUAUAGAAUCUAAUACAUUGCAGCACAACUGAAUUCCUUCCCUAAAGAAAAAGUCCUGCCAUUGUAACAUCAUAACUUAAAACACUUUUUUGGAAGAAGAUUUAAAAUAUUUGCCCAUGCUACAGGAAGAGACUGUAUUAAAAAUGGAUACACAAGGUCAGUUGACACUAUGAAGCUCAAGCUACCAAAAAGAAAGUGGCAAUAUAUUGACUCAGGAUCUCAAAGCUGGGUGUUUUAGCAUUACUGUGUAAAGACUUGAAGGGACAGAAGUGAAGAAAAUAAGCUGCAAUUUUGUACAGAUACCAACUUCUGAAAAGCUGGUGUUUUUACAACUAGCAUUGAAUGCAGUCCAAUUUGCAGUAGUAAUCUUCAAUAGACAAGCAGCUUUGUUGCUGCCUUUAUGGACAUGGGUACCAAUUGCUUUUGUAAUAUGGUAAAAAUGUGAGCUAGCACUUCUGCGUUCCUUUUGAUUUUUUUUUUUUAACAUGUAUUCAGAUUGAGAAAUAUGAUUUUAAUGCUUUAAUCUCAUGUAGUUUGUUUUUAAUUUCAAGCAAAAUCUUACUGUACUUGAAUGUGCCCUGUUUUGUUAGCACACCUAGACUUGCUGUAACUGUACUCAUGUCCCAGUAUGUACGUUCUUUCUAUGAAAGAGAAAACACUAAUCUUAAAUUAUAUCCAGCAAUGUUUCUGGUAUCCUUUAAGAAAAGUUAAGACUAUUAUUUCCUUCCCUUCCCUGUGCAGCAUUCAAAAUCACCCCUAGAAAAAGUGAGUGUUUUAAUGAGACUUCCUAGGAAGGGAUGCACUGUAAAACAAAAGUAUUCUUGUAACUCAGUUUUGUGAAAGGUAAAAAACUACUAUGUUUUAAGUACACUUUAGAAAGUCUCUUCAAAACAAACAGUCCUGUAUUUGAACUCUGUUCAUAGUUUUUUUUUGAACAGUUUAGACAAAACUGCUGGAAAUUAAACCAAUUUCCUGCAUUAAGCUGAGACAAGUAUAUAUACAGCCCUAUACAGUUUCAUAGCUUUUCCUCCCCCAUUUAUGUGUAUUGGUGACAGUGGGUAUAAAACAGCCUGAAAGUGUAUGCAUGUACCAUAACAUCUAGACUUAAUAUAUUGUGGAGUAUUCAAUAACCAUUAUGUAGAAGGUAGAUAAGAAUUAAAAGGGUUUAAUUUCCUAGAAAGAAAAUGGAAAAAUGGUCAUUUUUAAAAAAUAAAGUUUAUUAGAUCAUAAUGUUGUCUGAAUUUACCACCUUUGUCAGAAGUCAACUCAAAGCUUCCAAUGUAGUCAGUCUAUAAUUCCUUAAUCAAAGUCAGCAAUUUAUGGACAGCUUCAGCAUCUACAGUUGACCUUUCACUAGCCAGGCAAACUUCCCUUAAAAUUAAAAAAAAAAAAAAAAAA
rnacentral:lncRNA from 1 species